CACCGAACUAAAUGUUGAAUAUCAAAAUAACAUUUUCGCAUGACAUUUUGAAGCGAAAUCAAAGUUUUCCUUCAAUCACGUAAUCUCCAGGCAAAAGGGAAUCAGGCUGCGGAAAAUAAUUAUUCAAAACAAUGGCAGCAGCGAGUGGAAAAUUGGUAGGAUUGUGGAAGCAAGCGUUGAACGAAAUUCCGGAGGUACUUUUGGCCGGUGUUGCUGCAACUUCAAUGGCUACAGUGGCUGCAUUUAAACUUCACUAUGACCACAAGAACGGUAAAACGACCAAUAAAGUGUACAAAUACCUACCAGUUCAUAUGCGUCCAGAUGAUCCACGCGUCGCCAAAAUUCAUAAACCAUAGGACACCCGUGUAAAAUAGAAAAAGAACCAACAAAAAUGUAAUCACUUAGAAUGUUUUUGUCUCUCGUAGACAUUUGUACACUCAGUAAUAAAGAAAUAUGUUAUGGAUAAAAUAUCAAAA